UUAGGCUUGUAAACGGCCCUCAAAGCCCAAGCUUAGCUGGCAGCACACUUAUCGCAUAAUACCAACUACUACCACCAGCUCCGCCGCCGUCACUACACCACUGCCACUACCACUACCACCACCAACUACAUUGAACAUAGCAACCCUAAACCUAGAUAUCUCGAUGGCCACACCUUCCCCGUCUCCAUCUCCACCACCACCGGCAGAACCACCACCAUACUCCUCAAAGCCCAGAACCACCAAAAAACCCCAUCCUGUCCCCUGGACCCACCAAGAAACCGUCCACCUAAUCCAAGCCUACCAAGAAAAAUGGUACUCGUUAAAACGCGGACAGCUUAAAGCCAACCAGUGGGAAGAAGUAGCUGAAACCGUAGCUGCCCGCUGCGGCUACGAAUACAACCACCUGGCGAAAACAGUCAUCCAAUGCCGCCACAAGAUGGAGAAGCUCCGUAAACGUUACCGUGAAGAGAGACGGCGAUUGUCUCUUAAUGGUACCUGUUUCUGGCAGUAUUUUGACCUCAUGGAUUCCCUGGAACGCGGGCCUCUGCCUAUCUCGGCUCGGCCUCUGACUCUAAUACCAGGUAACGAUGACAAUGAAGAGGAUGAUGACGAGGAAGAAGAGGAAGAAGAAGAAGAAGAAUAUGGAUAUAGAAGUAGGUCGCUAAGUAUAAAUUAUAUACUGCAGAAACCGACUAUUGUUAAUAGGUUUGCAGGGAGCGAUUCUAGGCUUUUGCCCGCGGUGAUGAAUAAAAGGAAAAGAGAGGAAAUUGUAGAGGAGGAGGAACAAGAAGAAGAAGAAGAAGAGGAUAGUGGGAAAAGUGUAGAAUUGGAAUUAGCAGGGGAAAUAAGGGCGUUUACGGAGAGGAUAGUUGGAAUGGAGAGGAAGAAGAUGCAAAUGAUGAAGGAGACUGAGAGAUGGAGAAUGGAGAUGGAGAAUAAAAGAAUCGAGAUGAUCUUAGAUUCUCAGAGAAAGAUUGUCGAUAUGAUUUCAACCGCUUUUGGUUCUCCAGAGGAUUUGAAGAUGGAGCAAGAAUUCUGAAGGUUUAAUGCUCUUUAAUUCCAAGACCACUUUCUUGAGGAAUCAAACAGUAAAAACUUUGCUCAUUCUGGAAGUUUGGCCUUGCUCAAUUGGAUUUGACAAGAGAACUAAUAUUCAUUGGAGAAAGGGUCGUUGUGCGUUUGGAAAAUUGGAGUGGUUGAUUAGGUUACAAUGGAUUAAUAUCAUCCUUGUAGAUAUGUACUAGAUCAUGUCCAAAGAAUUGGUUAGAAGAUAAAAGCAAUGGUCAAUCCAUUUUAAAAUGGCGAAAACUCGGAAGGAAGGUUGUUUUGCUGGAAGAUCAUCUAAUUGUGGUUCGCUUUGCUGCUUGUUCAUUUCUUUGUGCUAACUAGAAAAUGCAGCAUUCGAACCAGCAGGCGAAGCACUGAAGCAUUAAGGAAAGAUGCUUAGGAUGUUUGUGUGAGAUAUCAGAUGUGGGAUAUGUUGUCUGUGAAUGCUACUUUUGGAUGAAAAUUUCUUCUUCUUCUUCUUUUCUCUGUAUAUAAAUUUACAGCUAUUCAUUCUAUUGCUUCUAUGUGAUGAUAUAUUAGCAUCGAUUAAGUCAUUUUCGAUCA